rnacentral:rRNA from 1 species
CCUACGGGGGGCAGCAGUGGGGAAUAUUGCACAAUGGGGGAAACCCUGAUGCAGCGACGCCGCGUGAGUGAAGAAGUAUUUCGUUAUGUAAAGCUCUAUCAGCAGGGAAGAAAAUGACGGUACCUGAGUAAGAAGCCCCGGCUAACUACGUGCCAGCAGCCGCGGUAAUACGUAGGGGGCAAGCGUUAUCCGGAUUUACUGGGUGUAAAGGGAGCGUAGACGGUAGUGCAAGUCUGGAGUGAAAGGCGGGGGCUCAACCCCGGGACUGCUCUGGAAACUGUGUGGCUGGAGUGCAGGAGGGGCAGGAGGAAUUCGUGGUGGAGCGGGGAAAUGCGUAGAUAUUAGGAGGAACACCGGGGGCGAAGGCGGCAUGCUGGACUGAAACUGACGUUGAGGCUCGAAAGCGUGGGGAGCAAACAGGAUUAGAUACCCUUGUAGUC